AGAGCGAACGCUGGCGGCAGGCCUAAAACAUGCAAGUCGAACGGACCCUUCGGGGUUAGUGGCGGACGGGUGGGUAACACGUGGGAACGUGCCUUUUGGUUCAGAACAACUCAGGGAAACUUGAGCUAAUACUGAAUAAGCCCUACGGGGGAAAGAUUUAUCGCCAUUAGAGCGGCCCGCGUUGGAUUAGCUAGUUGGUGAGGUAAAGGCUCACCAAGGCUACGAUCCAUAGCUGGUCUGAGAGGAUGAUCAGCCACACUGGGACUGAGACACGGCCCAGACUCCUACGGGAGGCAGCAGUUAGGAAUCUUGCGCAAUGGGCGAAAGCCUGACGCAGCCAUGCCGCGUGAAUGAUGAAGGUCUUAGGAUUGUAAAAUUCUUUCAGUGGGGAAGAUAAUGACUGUACCCACAGAAGAAGCUCCGGCUAACUUCGUGCCAGCAGCCGC
rnacentral:rRNA from 1 species